ensembl:lncRNA
GGUAGAUUAUCCGCAUCCCUCUGUACCCUCCCGGCCAGCUGAUAAGUUCCGAGACAAGGCCCACAUCUUCGUGAAGGCAGCGCGGAGCUUGACCCCUGACUCAGUGUAUGCUGCCUGGGGAGCAUUUCUCACUCCACGCCUUCCAUGCUGGCAGUCCCUCAGCUGAGUUGUCUGCUUCAUAGAGUUAACGGAGAAUUAAAGGAGGAAACACACGUAAAGCACUUAGAAGGGUGUUGAUCGAACCUAAGUUCAGUUCAGUCGCUCUGUCGUGUCCGACUCUUUGCGACCAAUGGACUGCAGCACCCCAGGCCCCCUGUCCAUCACCAACUCCGGAGCUUGCUCCGACUCAUGUCCACCGAGUCAGCAAGAAUGCAGCACAUGUGACCUGCAUUCCGUGCCUUGUACCCUUUGCACCCAGCAUCGGCUCUGGCACAGUGGAGGAGCUUUUGAAUGAAAUAAACGAUGAAUGGGGGCUUCUCUGGUGGCGCAGCUGGGCCCAGGAUUGCUUUUAUGAAUGAGGCUGCUGUUUAAAAAAGCUGCAUCACAGCCACCGUUUUGAGCGGGGCUUCUGAGGAUGACCCAAGAUGGUUCUGUGCCUCUCUCCCACCGCCUUAAAGUACCCUGGGGUCCUCUGACUUUCUCCCCAAGGGCCGCCUGCUGCUGCCUGGAGCCAUGCUCCCACUGCAGGAACAAGCCGGCGGGCUCCUCGCUGAGCAGCUCAGCUGCAGGCGUGGAAGCCGGUGUUCCUGUGAACUGUGUGGCCGUCUGAGAGGAGCAGCCAGCUGCAGGAGGCUGGCCGGCUGCUGGAGGAGGGACCCAGCACAGCGUGGGGCAAGGGUGCAGACCACACACCCGCCUGGCCUUCAGCUUUGCAAGUCCAGAAACAGCGGGUGCUCUAGGGCGCCUUCCACCUACUCCCACUCAUUAAGCCCACAGAGGCCCUUGCUUAUACUUCAUGCCAACUUCCAUUUAGAAUGGAAGCCAUCCCCCAGCGUCCCUUACCCAGGGACCCAGUCCCAGUGCCACGAUGCUUGUAAAGUGGAAGUGGUUGCUUGGUGAGAAUGGACUUGGAAGAGAGAGAGGAAAGCCUCAAGAAGGUAACUAUCCAAACCCUGGAAAAGCUCUGCAUCUUCUGGUCCCGUUCCUGAGCCACCUCCAGGGCUGAGACCACCACGUGUCUCAUACACCACAGCCACAUACACCUGCCCUGGAAAAGGCCGGGCCUGCUCUGCAACCAUUCAUUUCCAUUCAUGAUGACCUUGCCGAGGCUUUGGACACCAUAAAAGAUCAAGUGGGUUUUCAGUUUAGUCUGUAUGAUAGAAACUGCUUAUCUUCCUGAGUGUUUUUCCCACACUUAGAGUUCUGGGGACACUCUCCUGUUACCCUAUGCAUCACCUGUCCUAACUUCUUCCAGAAAGGCAAAGAGUGGGCUUAUG